ACACGACCGGCGCACGGGUGAGUAACGCGUAUGCAACCUACCUUUUUCAGGAAGAUAGCUCCCGGAAACGGGAAUUAAUAUUCCAUAUUCUAUAUAUAUUGCCUGAUAUUGUAUAGUAAAGUAUUCCACGGAAAAAGAUGGGCAUGCGUGUCAUUAGCUAGUUGGUGAGAUAACAGCUCACCAAGGCGACGAUGACUAGGGGUUCUGAAAGGAUGAUCCCCCACACUGGUACUGAGACACGGACCAGACUCCUACGGGAGGCAGCAGUGAGGAAUAUUGCGCAAUGGAGGCAACUCUGACGCAGCCAUGCCGCGUGCAGGAGGACGGCCCUAUGGGUUGUAAACUGCUUUUCUUAACUAAGAAAGAUGGAUAUUUAUAUUCAUUUGACUGGUUUUGGAAUAAGCAUCGGCUAACUCCGUGCCAGCAGCCGCGGUAAUACGGAGGAUGCAAGCGUUAUCCGGAUUCACUAGGUUUAAAGGGUGCGUAGGCGGAAGGAUAAGUCAGUGGUGAAAUCUUGCGGCUUAACCGUAAAAUUGCCAUUGAUACUGUUUUUCUUGAGUGUGGUUGAGGUAGGCGGAAUGAGUAAUGUAGCGGUGAAAUGCUUAGAUAUUACUCAGAACACCGAUUGCGUAGGCAGCUUACUAAGCCAUUACUGACGCUGAUGCACGAAAGCGUGGGUAGCAAACAGGAUUAGAUACCCUGGUAGUCCACGCAGUAAACGUUGAUUACUCGUUGUUGGCAAUACAUCGUCAGCGACUGAGCAAAAGCAUUAAGUAAUCCACCUGGGGAGUACGUCAGCAAUGAUGAAACUCAAAGGAAUUGACGGGGGCCCGCACAAGCGGAGGAACAUGUGGUUUAAUUCGAUGAUACGCGAGGAAC
rnacentral:rRNA from 1 species